AGUUUGAUUAUGGCUCAGGAUGAACGCUGGCGGCGUGCCUAACACAUGCAAGUCGAGCGAUUCUCUUCGGAGAAGAGCGGCGGACGGGUGAGUAACGCGUGGGUAACCUGCCCUGUACACACGGAUAACAUACCGAAAGGUAUGCUAAUACGAGAUAACAUACUUUUAUCGCAUGGUAGAAGUAUCAAAGCUCUGGCGGUACAGGAUGGACCCGCGUCUGAUUAGCUAGUUGGUAAGGUAACGGCUUACCAAGGCAACGAUGCGUAGCCGACCUGAGAGGGUGAUCGGCCACACUGGGACUGAGACACGGCCCAGACUCCUACGGGAGGCAGCAGUAGGGAAUCUUCCGCAAUGGACGAAAGUCUGACGGAGCAAUGCCGCGUGAGCGAAGAAGGCCUUCGGGUCGUAAAGCUCUGUUGUCAGGGAAGAACAAGUAUCGGAGUAACUGCCGGCGCCUUGACGGUACCUGACCAGAAAGCCACGGCUAACUACGUGCCAGCAGCCGCGGUAAUACGUAGGUGGCAAGCGUUGUCCGGAAUUAUUGGGCGUAAAGCGCGCGCAGGCGGUUUCUUAAGUCUGAUGUGAAAGCCCACGGCUCAACCCGUGGAGGGUCAUUGGAAACUGGGGAACUUGAGUGCAGAAGAGGAGAGUGGAAUUCCACGUGUAGCGGUGAAAUGCGUAGAGAUGUGGAGGAACACCAGUGGCGAAGGCGACUCUCUGGUCUGUAACUGACGCUGAGGCGCGAAAGCGUGGGGAGCGAACAGGAUUAGAUACCCUGGUAGUCCACGCCGUAAACGAUGAGUGCUAAGUGUUAGAGGGUUUCCGCCCUUUAGUGCUGCAGCAAACGCAUUAAGCACUCCGCCUGGGGAGUACGGCCGCAAGGCUGAAACUCAAAGGAAUUGACGGGGGCCCGCACAAGCGGUGGAGCAUGUGGUUUAAUUCGAAGCAACGCGAAGAACCUUACCAGGUCUUGACAUCCUCUGCCACUCCUAGAGAUAGGACGUUCCCCUUCGGGGGACAGAGUGACAGGUGGUGCAUGGUUGUCGUCAGCUCGUGUCGUGAGAUGUUGGGUUAAGUCCCGCAACGAGCGCAACCCUUGUUCUUAGUUGCCAGCAUUUAGUUGGGCACUCUAAGGAGACUGCCGGUGACAAACCGGAGGAAGGUGGGGAUGACGUCAAAUCAUCAUGCCCCUUAUGACCUGGGCUACACACGUGCUACAAUGGAUGGUACAAAGGGUCGCAAAACCGCGAGGUCUGGCCAAUCCCAUAAAACCAUUCUCAGUUCGGAUUGCAGGCUGCAACUCGCCUGCAUGAAGCCGGAAUCGCUAGUAAUCGUGGAUCAGCAUGCCACGGUGAAUACGUUCCCGGGCCCUGUACACACCGCCCGUCACACCACGAGAGUUUGUAACACCCGAAGUCGGUGGGGUAACCUUUUGGAGCCAGUCGCCUAAGGUGGGACAGAUGAUUGGGGUGAAGUCGUAACAAGGUA
rnacentral:rRNA from 1 species